AGUGCAGCUCAGUUGGUAGAGUACUUGCUUAGCAUGCAUAAAGCCCUGGGUUUGAUUCCCAGCAUU
rnacentral:tRNA from 1 species